UACAGAGGGUGCGAGCGUUAAUCGGAAUUACUGGGCGUAAAGCGUGCGUAGACGGUUUCGUAAGUCGGGUAUGAAAUCCCCGGGCUCAACCUGGGAAUUGCAUUCGAAACUGCGAGGCUAGGGUACGGAAGAGGGAAGCGGAAUUUCUGGUGUAGCGGUGAAAUGCGUAGAUAUCAGAAGGAACAUCAGUGGCGAAAGCGGCUUCCUGGUCCAGUACCGACGUUCAGGCACGAAAGCGUGGGGAGCAAACAGG
rnacentral:rRNA from 1 species